UAAAAAAAGAAAAUAUUAGCUAUAAAUAAUGGUCUAGUUGUGAAUUUUAAUUUGAUUUGAGAAAGAAAAAAAAUAUUGAUAAGAGUAAUGGCAAUGAGUCAAAUUAGAAAAUGUAUUGUGAUGAUGUUGAUAAUAAUGAUGUUUAAAAUACAAGUUGAAUGCAUUCCUGAAUCUCCCUAUUUUAAGACAAGCUCUGUAGUUUUAUGUAAGACUGGAUGUUUCUUUAAGUGCAGCGUUGGAAUGGUUUAUUUUGCGGAUUGCUUUGAAGACUGUUGUAAUGAUUGCAAACAUAAAAACAAUUAUGAUGCUUCACAUAAGUAAUGGUAUUAGUGCUUCAAGUGAAUGUAUGUCGUGCUGCUUGGGAUGCUUACAUAUAUUUCUUAAGGAUUGGAAUUACAAUAAUUAAUAAAUAAUUCAUAUGUUUUAUGCGAUGCUAUUCAAUAAAAUGUAUGGUUAAAUAUUGACAUUUUGCCAAAAUUAAAUAAAUAUAUUUUAAAUCA